GCCAGACACGGUGGUGCAUGUCUGUAAUCCCAGCAACUCAGGAGGCUGAGGUGGGAUGAUCACAAGUUCAAGGCCAGCCUCAGCAACUUAGCCAGACCCUGUCUCAA
rnacentral:sRNA from 1 species